rnacentral:rRNA from 1 species
CAAACGACUCUCGGCAACGGAUAUCUCGGCUCACGCAUCGAUGAAGAACGUAGCAAAAUGCGAUACUUGGUGUGAAUUGCAGAAUCCCGUGAACCAUCGAGUUUUUGAACGCAAGUUGCGCCCAAAGCCUUUUGGUUGAGGGCACGUCUGCCUGGGCGUCACAC